rnacentral:lncRNA from 1 species
AAAUCAGAAUAACAGGUGGGACCGAAACAUCCUUCCCCUUGUGAAUCUGUGAGAGAGUGAAAGCUGAGAACCAAUACUUUGGAAGCUCUUUUAUGCAGAGUCGGAACCCUGACCUUCUGUGAUGAAGAAGACCGUGUAAGUUCCAGGUAGAAUGACUGCUGUUACCCGUUGCAGGGGCACCACUCACGUCACCGUCUAGGACGGACAGAGCGGGAGGAGACGGCUGAAGAGGCAGAAGAAGGGGUCUCCCCGAUGCUGAUGGGACCGGAAUGGGACUCGGGGGGAUGGAUAGUGAUUCCUUCCUCGUGUGGUUUUGAGGCCAUGAGAUUCCCUCAGCGGCCUGGCCUGAAGAGUCGGGAGAGGGCAGCCUGGUUAACUGCAGAUACGAGGUGGCAUCCUAACCCAAGAUUCAGGUUCGGAUGAUCAGUCUUUAGCUGGAUAGAACCCGUGGAAGUGACACAUGCCAACAGACGGAGGAAACUCGAUUCUUUUAAUAACUCUCAUGUUUGCAUCGCAUGUUAGAAGUAUGAAAUAUUUUCAUCGCUAUAGUUGAGUCUCACAAAAAAUCGAUGGAAAAGGCAGAGCAGGUAUUACCUCACCUUAGAGGGGAAAAAACUGAGCCUCAGAAAGGUGAAGCUCCUUCCUCUUAUAGCCACACACACGACAAAUGGCAGAGCCAAGGUCCAAAUCCAGGUCUGUCUAAAGUCUCAUGAGGAGUUCUCUCUACCGUAGAGAAGUGUUUUUAUUUUGUGUUCGUUUCUGUUCUUAAUUGAAAGGAAGGGAGUAGGUCAUAUCAUGGAGUUCUGGGGGAUCUAAAGUACCCGAGCCUGGGAGAUUCAUCCCUCAGUCACUUUGUAGAUGUCAGCUGAGGGCCAAUCAAGAAGGGCCUUGAAUGCCAAGCUGAGGAGCUGGGACUUUAUCCCAAGGGCACUAGGGGGCCAUGGAGGGUUUGGGCAGAGGAGAAACAGGGUCAGCCCUGAGAGCUAGACAGAUCUCUCUAAAGCUGAAAUGGAAGAUGGAUGGGAGGGCAUAGGAAUGGAUACCGAAUGACCCGGGGCCUGGAUAACGGUCUAGAACCACCACAUCUAUCCAAUACGGUAGCCGUGAGCCCCGUGUGGCUAUUGAGCUCUUGAAAUGUGGAUGGUCUGCAAUGAGAUGUGCUGAAAGUAUGAAAUACCCACCAGAUUGAAGACUUAGCCCAAAAUAAAACUACGUAAAGCAAUUCAUGAAUGACUUUUUCAUAACGAUUACAUGUGGAAAUGAAAAUAUUUUGGAUAUAUUAGAUUAAGCAAAAUGUACGAUGAAACAAUUUUAUCUGUU